rnacentral:rRNA from 1 species
UACGGGGGGGGCAAGCGUUGUUCGGAUUUACUGGGCGUAAAGGGCGCGUAGGCGGUCAGUGCAAGUCAGUUGUGAAAUCUCCGGGCUUAACUCGGAAAGGUCAACUGAUACUGCUCGACUAGAGUGCGGAAGGGGCAACUGGAAUUCUUGGUGUAGCGGUGAAAUGCGUAGAUAUCAAGAGGAACACCUGCGGCGAAGGCGGGUUGCUGGGCCGACACUGACGCUGAAGCGCGAAAGCGUGGGGAGCGAACAGG